rnacentral:misc_RNA from 1 species
AAAGGUUUCUCUAGGGCUUGAAUAAAACCAAGCUUCUGGAAAACUCCACCCUUGUAUAUUUAUUAUUUGUUGCUUUGGCAGGCCGCGAGAUUGCCUGGCGAUCGAGCACCGGCUUCGGCUGGAGAGCGCCUGCCAGAGGACCCCAACUCUUUGUUAUUAUGUCGUCUGAGUACUAUUUAAUAGUUA